AGUCGCCUUUUGCGAAAAUUACGGCUCCAAUCACUGCGUUGAGCCUUUUUAGACAUAGGGCCUCCAUUACCUAGUUGCCUUUUGCCAACAUUAAGGCUCCAAUCCCUGAGUUGAGCCUUUUAGACAUAGAGCUUCCAUUACCUAGUCGCCUUUUCUUCCAAUAUUAGGGCUCAAAUCCCUGAGUUGAGCCUUUUAGACAUAGGGCCACCAUUCCCAAGCCGCCUUUCACCAACAUUAGGGCUCCAAUCCCUGAGUUGAGCCUUUUAGACUUAGGGCCUCCAUUCCCUAGUCGCCUUUUGCGAACAUUAGGGCUUCAAUCUUUGAGUUUAGCCUUUUAGACAUAGUGCCUCCAUUCCCUAGUCACCUUUUACCAACAUUAGGGCUCUAAUCACUGAGUUGUGCCUUUUAGACAUGGGGCCUCCAUUCCCUAGUCUCCUUUUGCCAACAUUAGGGCACCAAUCCCUUAGUUGAGCCUUUUAGACAAAGGGUCUCCAUUCCCUAGUCGCCUUUUCUACCAAUAUUAGGGCUCCAAUCCCUGAGUUCAGCCUUUUAGGCAUGGGGCCUCCAUUCCCUAGUUGCCUUUUCUGCCAACAUUAGGGCUCCAAUCCCUGAGUUGAGCCUUUUAGACAU
rnacentral:lncRNA from 1 species